rnacentral:misc_RNA from 1 species
GAUGAAGAACGCAGCGAAAUGCGAUAAAUAAUGUGAAUUGCAGAAUUCAGUGAAUCAUCGAGUCUUUGAACGCACAUUGCGCCCCCUGGUAUUCCGGGGGGCAUGCCUGUCCGAGCGUCAUUGCUGCCCUCAAGCACGGCUUGUGUGUUGGGCCUCCGUCCUCCUCCCGGGGGACGGGCCCGAAAGGCAGCGGCGGCACCGCGUCCGGUCCUCGAGCGUAUGGGGCUUCGUCACCCGCUCUUGUAGGCCCGGCCGGCGCUUGCCGACACAUCAAUCUUUUUUCCAUGUUGACCUCGGAUCAGGUAGGGAUACCCGCUGAACUUAAGCAUAUCAAUAAGCGGAGGA